AAAAAAGACAAACACUGGUUUCCGUGUCCAACAUUUGACCGUCCGUCUUAUUUGAAAAAAUUAUGAAAAAAAUUAAAAAGACAAGUCACACAUAAAAUAUUAAUCAUGUUUUAUCAUCUAACAACAACAAAAAUACAAAUUAUAAAAAAAUUUCAUAUAAGACGGAUAGUCAAAGUUGGACACGAAAAUACAGGGUUUGACUUUUU
rnacentral:pre_miRNA from 1 species